UGGUACUAACUGAUUUGGCGGGCAUUUUAGGCACUUAACCAGUCCCAUGGUGUGUCUGUACCGUCUUAACUCUAACCCCCCACACAAUGAGCUCUGUGUGGUGCUGGGCCAUCUGUAUCCCUCCUGCCUCGUCAUUUCCCAAGCAUCGUACGUAUGUCUGGCGGACUUUGUUCCUAACGAAGAUGUCACGAAUAUUUCGCAUUUCAUGACCACUUUUAGUUAAACUAUUUCUAGAUGAGUUCUUUUUAGCUAAAGCGAAAUACCAAUCCCUGCCGUGCUGUUUCCAGAGCUUAAGUGUAACUUGUGUAUAUAUUUCGUGUUAUUAUGAGCGACAUCUAACGUGUUUUCGAAUCCGUGCGUUGAGAUGUCUGUUUCGAAUGUGUAUUCGAUUGUGUUUUAUCAUUGCUGGAAAAAGCCAGUACUGUAACAUUUUGAUGUUACUUAGUCCUUUGCUUCAUGACAUUUUAGCAUGACGGAAAUCGCAUGCCAUGUUCGAAAAGUAACAAACUUGUUAAUAAAUGUAAUUUGGUUUCUAUGUUAAUAUCAUGCAAUUCACACUGCAAUGUCACGUCUGUUCAAAGUGCACGAAAAAGGACCGUCGAUAGUGAUUGUAUUCGAGUCGUGUAAAUUUCCGACUGCUUGUUUGAGUGUUCGGGUGGGAUAUCGUUCGGCCGUUAUAAAUACGAGAUUGGAAUAAUGUUUCAUUUCGUUCAUUCAGUUUCGUAUUUUACUGUGAACGUGUACUUUCAAAACCGAUCUUUGUUUUUUACGACUAUUCCCGACACUAAACAAGUUUCAUAGCUGUACCGUUCGCUACAGUUUUUGAUUGACCAAAAUGACCACUCACGGUUUUGAAUCGAUUAACACGGGAAAAUAAGUUAUUCAAGAUGUUUCCGUCGAGGGAAGCUAUGGAUGAGGUUAUUGCAGAACUGAGGAGCAACGAUCGGUUCCAAAGUUUUGGGAAGAGGUCAGUAGAAGGUGGGCGGCGAGUUAGUGAAUGUAUUAUUUUGGAAUCUUCCGAAAUGAUAGCGGUAAGUCUCUUUAAUAUGUAUGUAUGUGUAUAUGAAGCAUGUGUGAAAUUAGAUCUUUGUUUCUAUCCGUGGUUAAUUACCAAUUCUGCACCCUAUACACAAACAAAUUAUGUAACAUUUUACCACUUUUUAUAACAUAUGUAAUUUAUUAUUUAAUGAUAAUAGUGUUAGAUUGAAUUUCUACGUAUGAAAUUCUGCUUAAGUGAAAAAGAAAGAAAAAAAUCGUAGUGAAGUUUCAUCGUGUGAACAAAUACGACUUUCAAGCUAUAUUUAACGAGAUGUGUGCACAAUUCUGCUUAAGUGAAAAAAGAAAGAAAAAAAAUCGUAGUGAAGUUUCAUCGUGGGAACAAAUACGACUUUCAAGCUAUAUUUAACGAGAUGUGUGCACUACAGUGGAUGGUUAUUUUGUCAGUUUCACGUCAUGAUA